CCUAGGGAGGCUGCAGUGGGGAAUAUUGGACAAUGGGCGAAAGCCUGAUCCAGCCAUGCCGCGUGUGUGAAGAAGGCCUUCGGGUUGUAAAGCACUUUCAGUGGGGAAGAAAGCCUUGGGGCUAAUACCCUCGAGGAAGGACAUCACCCACAGAAGAAGCACCGGCUAACUCCGUGCCAGCAGCCGCGGUAAUACGGAGGGUGCGAGCGUUAAUCGGAAUUACUGGGCGUAAAGCGCGCGUAGGCGGUCUGAUAAGCCGGUUGUGAAAGCCCCGGGCUCAACCUGGGAACGGCAUCCGGAACUGUCAGGCUAGAGUGCAGGAGAGGAAGGUAGAAUUCCCGGUGUAGCGGUGAAAUGCGUAGAGAUCGGGAGGAAUACCAGUGGCGAAGGCGGCCUUCUGGACUGACACUGACGCUGAGGUGCGAAAGCGUGGGUAGCAAACAGGAUUAGAUACCCGAGUAGUC
rnacentral:rRNA from 1 species